rnacentral:rRNA from 1 species
UUUAUUGGAGAGUUUGAUCCUGGCUCAGGACGAACGCUGGCGGCGUGCCUAAUACAUGCAAGUCGAGCGAGUCCCUUC